UUUUUUUUUUUUUUUUUGAGACGGAGUCUCGCUCUGUUGCCCAGGCUGGAGUGCAGUGGCGCAAUCUCGGCUCACUGCAAGCUCCGCCUCCCAGGUUCAUUACAUUCUCCUGCCUCAGCCUCUCCAAGUAGCUGGGACUACAGGCGCCCGCCACCACACCUGGCUAAUUUUUUGUAUUUUUUUUUUUUUAAUAGAGACGGGGUUUCAUUGUGGUCUCGAUCUCCUGACCUCGUGAUCCGCCUGCCUCGGCCUCCCAAAGUGCUGGGAUUACAAGCGUGAGCCACCGCACCCGGCCAGAAUAAAUGUUUAAGAAAUAUUCAUUUGCCCCUGCUGGGCAAGAUGGCCAAAUAGGAACAGCUCUGGUCUGCCGCUCCCAGUGAGACCAACGCAGAAGGUCACUCGGGUGUCACUCACAAGGCCUCAUCAAAUGCACCCCAUGAGCGUGGAUGACUCCAGAGAAAACCUUCUGAGGGUUUCCAGAGACGCAUUUUUGCUCCUUUGGAGUAAUGGGAACAAGGGGUCACUCUGCUUCAUGAUAAGGCAGUGACCCCACAUGCGUGUGCAGGUGAAACUGCUUUCUCUCCAGCCAGGAUAAAAGAGGAGGCUCACAGCUCUCCACCCAGCACCAGCAGCUGGCGACAGGGCCACGCGUUUGUCAGGACAGGACCCACGACACAUGGUUGUGUCAAGAGCUCUCUGCCUUGCAUGUCUAAUCAUAACAGAAAAACACAAAUUCGGGGGAACAUUCUUCUGGUGUAUUUUUCCCACCCGUUCCACAGUUCUGGUUCAGGACCAUGGCGACCUGGGCACAGGACUCCUCCAUCCUCCACCUGCACCAUGGCAAAGCCAUCUCACGGUGAGCUUGCAAGAGAGUCUGGUGGGGGACAGAGAGGAGGAAGCCUGUCCCCAGCUGUUUUCUGCGGAACUCUGGAUACUUUCGUGUUCUGUAGAGAAUGAGGAUGAAGUUGACAAAAAAUCCGGAAAGGUUGCUGUGGAUGGGGCAAUGCAGGCCAUUCUCCCAGGGAGUUGGUCCCACUCUGACCAUCUUCCCUGCCCCACAAGGGAAUGGAGGGCCUCCGUGUAAGCAAACACCAUCGGGCUGUGCGUGUGUGAGACAAUGUGUGCCAAAUGCAAUCUCAUCAACCCAUCUGCCCUUCGACACCCGGGAGCUUGUCCAAGCAGAGAGAAAACACUCAUCCAGAGUUUAGCAAAUAAUGCCAUCAAUUGAAACAGGUUUACUUCCACUGAGAUGUCUUUAAAAGCAGAGUGAUUUUAAAAUAAUGGUUGGUUUUAAACUACUUAUUUAGGUGUCAUGAGUGCAUUUCAGUGGGAGUUUUUUUUGUUUUUUUUUUGAUUUUUGUUUUUUAAGACAGAGUCUCACACUGUCACCCAGGCUGGAGUGCAGGGAUGUGAUCUUGGCUCACUGAAACCUCCACCUCCCAGGUUCAAGCGAUUCUUGUGCCUCAACCUCCCAUGUAGCUAGGAUUACAGGCAUGCACCACCACAUUCUGCUAAUUUUUGUAUUUUGGACAGAGUUUUGCCAUGUGGUCCAGGCUGGUCUCAAACUCUGGACCUCAAGUGAUCCUCCUGCCUCAGCCUCCCAAAGUUCUGGGAUUACAGGCGUGAGACACUGCGUCCGGCCGGGACUGUUUUCAUAACAUCGUUGUGUUUUAAGAAAACUUUCAUGGCUUGUGACAAAUAGCAUGUAACUCAGUAAGUUUUGUGAACAAAGCUAUGUGAAAGGAUGAUAAAAUCUUGGGACCCCAGUGCACUCUGCCAAAAGGAAAAACUUAAACUGGAAGCUGAAUCAUGCAAGAAGUGGCCUUUCCUUUUGUUCCUAAGUAGAGGGCUAUGGAUAAAAGCAUCUCCACCAGUAGCUGCUCUCCAUAAAGUGCCAAGGUAAUGAGCUCAAAAGGGACACAUCAUGGGCCAACCCCCUGCCUGCUCUCUUUCUCUUGCAACAUGAUUCCAUGACAGGCCACACCCUCCCUCUUUCCCCUCCAGCCCACUUCUCCCCUUUACAGUUCAGAGCCCUCAAAAUCGUCUUUGGAUAAAGGCAGGGACUGGAUUCCAUAACGGGCCACACUCUCCCUCUUUCCCCUCCAGCCCACUUCUCCUCUUUACAAUUCAGAGCCCUCAAAAUCGUCUUUGGAUAAAGGCAGGGACUGGAUUCCAUAAUGGGCCACAUCCUCCCUCUUUCCCCUCCAACCCACUUUUCCUCUUUACUGUUCAGAGCCCUCAAAAUUAUCUUUGAAUAGAGGCAGGGACCACAGAUUGUUCCUGUGGUUUUGUGUUCCUCUUUUCAGGAAAUGUCCUUACCUUUGGCAAAAUAAAUUUCUAAACUAAUGAAGCCCUGUCUCAGACGCUUUCUGGUUCUCUCUAUGUAACCAGGACUGAGAUCAAAAACAGGACCCUGGCAACUCCCUCUGUGGAGCAGUUACCUGACCCCCGCGGGGACCACUAUCCUGACCCGGGUGCCAAUUGGCACUGCCCAGUUCUGAAUUCCAUGCACGUGGCCCCGGCAGGAGGCACCGGUGCCCUCCUUCCUUCCAGCAUCACGCCAGCAUCACACCCACAUCACGCCAGCCUCCCGCCAGCAUCAUGCCAGCAUCACACCCACACCACGCCAGCCUCCCACCAGCAUCACGCCAGCAUCACACCCACAUCACGCCAGCCUCUCGCCAGCAUCACGCCAGCAUCACGCCAGGCUCACCCUGUUGUGGCUGCACCUGAAGCUUGUUUACUGUUGCUGCCUUGUUGGAUUCUGUCCCAUGAACACACCACGGUUUAUUCAUCCAUUCUGUUGUCAAUGGGCAUUUGGACCGUCUUCAGUUUGGGGCAAUGAAUACACCUGCUGUGAACAUUCAGAUGCUCUUCUUGGGUGAAUUUACAUACACAUUUCUGUUGGGCAUGUGCUAGAGGCUGCAUCGCUGGGUCACUGCCUCCCUGAGUCCCCUGUGUCCAGCUGCAGGACCCCCUCACAUGCACCCCAGCUCCCACUGCUCCACAGUUAGGCCAUGAUUUGAUAUUUCUGCCUUUCUCAUCUUAGCCAUGCUGGUGCAGAACAGAAGUUCCUAAUGUUGGCAUAAAUCAAAUUUAUCUGUGUAAGUUUCUGGAGCCUCUAUUUGUUCCAUUGGUCCAUGUUUCUUUCAAGAGUCCCACCUUGUGUUAUUUACUGUAGCUUUAAAUUAAGGCACAAUACCCAAUAGUGAGAGUCCUCUGACUUUGCUCUUCCUCAAGAUUGUAUUAACUGUUAUUGACUCUUUGUGUGUUUUUAAUUUUUUUAUUAUAUUUUAAGUAUAAUAAAAUACUGGAGACCCGGG